rnacentral:rRNA from 1 species
CGACACGAGUUUGAUCAUGGCUCAGAUUGAACGCUGGCGUAGGCCUAACACAUGCAAGUCGAACGCGAAAGUCCUUCGGGAUGAGUAGAGUGGCGGACGGGUGAGUAGCGCGUAGGAAUCUAUCCUGUAGUGGGGGAUAACGUUUCGAAAGGAACGCUAAUACCGCAUACGCCCCAGGGGGAAANCGGGGGAUCUUCGGGACCUCGUGCUAUAGGAGGAGCCUGCGUCGGAUUAGCUAGUUGGUGAGGUAAAGGCUCACCAAGGCGACGAUCCGUAGCUGGUCUGAGAGGAUGAUCAGCCACACCGGAACUGAGACACGGUCCGGACUCCUACGGGAGGCAGCAGUGGGGAAUAUUGCGCAAUGGGCGAAAGCCUGACGCAGCCAUACCGCGUGUGUGAAGAAGGCCUUCGGGUUGUAAAGCACUUUCAGUGGGGAGGAAAAGCUGGUGGCUAAUAUCCAUCGGCCGUGACGCUACCCACAGAAGAAGCACCGGCUAAUUCCGUG